UCCCUGGUAGUUGAGUCGGUAAGACUUCAUGCUCUCAAUGCAAGGGGCCCCAGGUUCAAUUCCUGGUCAGGGAA
rfam:Ovis aries breed Texel chromosome 17, whole genome shotgun sequence.